GCAGCGAAUCUUCCGCAAUGGGCGAAAGCCUGACGGAGCGACGCCGCGUGUGGGAUGAAGCGCCUUUGGUGUGUAAACCACUGUCAGGGAGUAGAAACACUGAUCACUUCCAGAGGAAGGGGCGACUAACUCUGUGCCAGCAGUCGCGGUAAGACAGAGGCCCCGAGCGUUAGUCGGAAUCACUGGGCUUAAAGGGUGCGUAGGCGGGCCGGUAAGUGUCGGGUGAAAUCCCGGGGCUCAACCCCGGAACAGCCCGGCAAACUGCCGGUCUCGAGGAAUCUAGAGGUCGCUGGAACGCUUGGUGGAGCGGUGGAAUGCGUAGAGAUCAAGCGGAACGCCGAAGGUGAAGACAGGCGACUGGGGAUUUCCUGACGCUGAGGCACGAAAGCGUGGGGAGCAAACAGGAUUAGAUACCCCGGUAGUCC
rnacentral:rRNA from 1 species